UUCUUAUUUUGUCUUCCAUUAUGGGGCCUUGGGGGAACAGUCAGUGUUUGGUUGAACGCUGACUACAAAAAGGUUCCAGCAUGUUAGCAGGGCAGUGUGUUCCCUAAAGAACGCUUCGUCAUCAACACGAGAAGUAAAUAUUUCCGGUUUCAUGAUCACGUGAGAGGGUUUUGUAAAAUGUAAUCAUCCCCCUCAUGAAGGGAUUUAGUUACAGUCUUACUACGGAAUGGUACUAUUAUGGUUGGCUGUUGAAUGCAGUAAUUUGGCAGAUUAAAAUGUUCCAUUUGUUGUGACACCCCCAAUUGAUUCAUUGAUACAUAAUGUUUACAUUUACUUCCCGGAAAAAGAAGAUAUGUGAUUAAAAAACUGUGUCGAAAAUUAUUCCUAAUGUUUAGAUAUUUACAAAUAUAUCAAGAAAAACUUCUGUAUGGAUUUUGAUUAUUGCUUCUUUUUUUACUGAAAUUAUGUUUCUUUGAUAAUAAAAAUGC